rnacentral:rRNA from 1 species
AACAAUUAAACGGCCGCGGUACUCUAACCGUGCAAAGGUAGCAUAAUCAUUUGUCCACUAAUUAUGGACUAGUAUGAAAGGCAAAAUGAGGGUUUAACUGUCUCUUAUAGUAAGUCAAUUAAACUGAUCUACCAGUAAAAAAGCUGGAAUAAUCACACAAGACCAGAAGACCCUGUGAAGCUUAAACUAAACUAUUAAACCACAUAAUACCUAAUUUCGGUUGGGGCGACCUUGGAAAAAAAAGAACUUCCAAACUAGUGACAUCAAUCACCCUCAGGCCAACAAGCCACAUAUGACCCAGUACACCUGAUAAUUGAACCAAGUUACUCCAGGGAUAACAGCGCCAUCUUCUUCAAGAGUCCAUAUCAAAAAGAAGGUUUACGACCUCGAUGUUGGAUCAGGACAUCCUAA